AGUGGAUUAGCGGCGGACGGGUGAGUAACACGUGGGUAACCUGCCUCAAAGUGGGGGAUAGCCUUCCGAAAGGAAGAUUAAUACCGCAUAACAUAAGAGAAUCGCAUGAUUUUUUUAUCAAAGAUUUAUUGCUUUGAGAUGGACCCGCGGCGCAUUAGCUAGUUGGUAAGGUAACGGCUUACCAAGGCAACGAUGCGUAGCCGACCUGAGAGGGUGAUCGGCCACAUUGGAACUGAGACACGGUCCAGACUCCUACGGGAGGCAGCAGUGGGGAAUAUUGCGCAAUGGGGGAAACCCUGACGCAGCAACGCCGCGUGGGUGAUGAAGGUCUUCGGAUUGUAAAGCCCUGUUUUCUAGGACGAUAAUGACGGUACUAGAGGAGGAAGCCACGGCUAACUACGUGCCAGCAGCCGCGGUAAUACGUAGGUGGCGAGCGUUGUCCGGAUUUACUGGGCGUAAAGGGUGCGUAGGCGGAUGUUUAAGUGGGAUGUGAAAUCCCCGGGCUUAACCUGGGGGCUGCAUUCCAAACUGGAUAUCUAGAGUGCAGGAGAGGAAAGCGGAAUUCCUAGUGUAGCGGUGAAAUGCGUAGAGAUUAGGAAGAACACCAGUGGCGAAGGCGGCUUUCUGGACUGUAACUGACGCUGAGGCACGAAAGCGUGGGUAGCAAACAGGAUUAGAUACCCUGGUAGUCCACGCCGUAAACGAUGGAUACUAGGUGUAGGGGGUAUCAACUCCCCCUGUGCCGCAGUUAACACAAUAAGUAUCCCGCCUGGGGAGUACGGUCGCAAGAUUAAAACUCAAAGGAAUUGACGGGGGCCCGCACAAGCAGCGGAGCAUGUGGUUUAAUUCGAAGCAACGCGAAGAACCUUACCUGGACUUGACAUCCCUUGCAUAGCCUAGAGAUAGGUGAAGCCCUUCGGGGCAAGGAGACAGGUGGUGCAUGGUUGUCGUCAGCUCGUGUCGUGAGAUGUUAGGUUAAGUCCUGCAACGAGCGCAACCCUUGUUAUUAGUUGCUACCAUUAAGUUGAGCACUCUAAUGAGACUGCCUGGGUAACCAGGAGGAAGGUGGGGAUGACGUCAA
rnacentral:rRNA from 1 species